UAGUCCACGCCGUAAACGAUGAUUACUCGUUGUGUGCGAACAAUCGUAUGCGACUAAGCGAAAGCAUUAAGUAAUCCACCUGGGGAGUACGUUGGCAACAAUGAAACUCAAAGGAAUUGACGGGGGCCCGCACAAGCGGAGGAACAUGUGGUUUAAUUCGAUGAAUACGCGAGGAACCUUACCUGGGCUUAAAUGCAGAACGAACGGCGCCGAAAGGUGCUUUCCCCUCGGGGCGUUUUACAAGGUGCUGCAUGGCUGUCGUCAGCUCGUGCCGUGAGGUGUCGGGUUAAGUCCCGAUAACGAGCGCAACCCCUAUUGCUAGUUACCAGCGGAUCAUGCCGGGGACUCUAGUGAGACUGCCACCGUAAGGUGUGAGGAAGGUGGGGAUGACGUCAAGUCAGCACGGCCCUUAUGUCCAGGGCUACACACGUGUUACAAUGGUCAGUACAAAGGGAAGCUACCUGGUGACAGGAUGCAAAUCUCUAAAGCUGGUCUCAGUUCGGAUUGUAGUCUGCAA
rnacentral:rRNA from 1 species